GGUUGAGUCGUCUAAAGGUUAAGGCGUGGAAUUGCAAAUUCUGAGAUAGCAGUUCAAUUCUGCUCUCAACC
rnacentral:tRNA from 1 species